GCAGUGAUUCACAGCGUGGCCAUGUUAAAAGGCCAGGGUCAAAGGAACCUAAUGUGAAAAUGUUUCAGUCUUUUGAUGAAGUAUUCCAGAACACAGAACUCCUUAUCAUACAGAACAUCAAGUUCCUUUAAGAUAUGGGUUGCUAUCUCCAAUUCAUUUUGGGAAGAGGUGAGGUAUUAAAUAUUUAUAUUAAUUAAAUAGAAUUAUCCUAAAAUAACAUAAGUUGGCUUACCCCUGGGCAGGAAGUCUCAUUUACAAGUGAGCACACCCACCUGUUGAUACCCAGGGCCAUCAUGUCUGCCAAGCAAAAUAAACUCCUUCAUGAACAGACAGGAGCCACGCUGUUCCCUCUGUGCCCAGUCACCAGAAC
rnacentral:lncRNA from 1 species